rnacentral:lncRNA from 1 species
UAAUAUAAUUAUAUUUUUAUAUAAUUAAAAUUUAAAUUAAAAUAACUAAAUUAAUUUUUUAUACAAAAAUUAUAGUAAUACAAUAAUAAAAUUAUAAAGUAAAAUAUAUUAAUGCUUAAUUAAUUAAUUUUUAUUAUAUUUUAAUUGUACAAAUUAAAUAAAAAAUAUUAAAACUUAACUAAUCAAUUUUUAUCAUAUUUUAAAUAUACUAACUGAAUAAAAGAGUAAUUAGUAAUACAAUUAAAUAUAUUUAAAUAUAAUUAUCUUUAUCUAUUAUAUUAUUUUAUUAUUUUUUCUUCACCACUCUUCAUCGUAAUUAGACGAAGUCAAUUACGCCGUUUGAGAUUAACUCGAGUUCCGACUGUAAUAUUUUUACGGCAAACCAAACAACGAAAGUGGCCGUUUAUGGCGAAAACGACUUCCCUCCUCUCCAUUUUUACCCCACUUCCACCCAAACAAACAUAGCCACGCCACAUAUAGCAACACUUUUAAAAAGUGUCAGUAAUUUAUGCAGCAGAUUGACAUUUAAAAGUGUCGCUAUACACCAUUUUUGUUGUAGUGAUACAUUAGGAUUUUUGCAGGAAUAACUUAUGAAAAUUGAACUUUGCAGGAAUAUAUCUGUAAUUCACUAUAUUUACGGGAACCUGUAUAAAAUUAACCCUAUUUUUAAUUAGAUAGCAAAUUAUUUAUCUACACUUUACUGCAUUAAUUUGUAUAUCUAAUGAAUUUUCAACUCUUUUCUU